GCCCAAAUCGCACGUGCCUGUGGUCGUGUGUCGGUCGGCGGGGAUCCGGACAAGAGGCCGGUUAACCGCCGUUAAAAAACCGGCAGCCGGAGGCGAACCGGCGAACUCCGUUUCUGCGGAGGAUCGCGACUUAAAGCAACGACGGACCGGGCUUUU
rfam:Methylocystis bryophila strain S285, complete genome.